AGGCCAGUAGCACCUUAGAGACCAGCUAAGUUUGUUCUAGGUAUUAGUUUUCGUGUGCAUGCACACUUCUUCAGAUACACGAAAGCUUAUACCCAGAACAAACGUAGUUGGUCUCUAAGGUGCUACUGGCCU